GAUUGCCCGUCGGCGUGCAAGGCUCGGUGUGCAAAGAACUGGAAGAACAAGAUGUGCAACAGGAUGUGCAACAUCUGCUGCGGCAAGUGCAACUGUGUCCCCUCCGGCACCAGCCAGGCGACCCGUAACGAAUGCCCCUGCUACGCCAACUUGAAAAACUCCAAGAACGGCAAGCUCAAGUGCCCCUAG
rnacentral:rRNA from 1 species